rnacentral:rRNA from 1 species
UGAUCAUGGCUCAGAUUGAACGCUGGCGGCAUGCCUUACACAUGCAAGUCGAACGGUAACAGGUCUUCGGAUGCUGACGAGUGGCGAACGGGUGAGUAAUACAUCGGAACGUGCCCGAUCGUGGGGGAUAACGGAUCGAAAGCUUUGCUAAUACCGCAUACGAUCUACGGAUGAAAGCAGGGGACCUCAAGGCCUUGCGCGGACGGAGCGGCCGAUGUCAGAUUAGGUAGUUGGUGGGAUAAAAGCUUACCAAGCCNACGAUCUGUAGCUGGUCUGAGAGGACAUCGGAAUUACUGGGCGUAAAGCGUGCGCAGGCGGUUAUAUAAGACAGAUGUGAAAUCCCCGGGCUCAACCUGGGAACUGCAUUUGUGACUGUAUAGCUAGAGUACGGCAGAGGGGGAUGGAAUUCCGCGUGUAGCAGUGAAAUGCGUAGAUAUGCGGAGGAACACCGAUGGCGAAGGCAAUCCCCUGGGCCUGUACUGACGCUCAUGCACGAAAGCGUGGGGAGCAAACAGGAUUAGAUACCCUGGUAGUCCACGCCCUAAACGAUGUCAACUGGUUGUUGGGAAUUCACUUUCUCAGUAACGAAGCUAACGCGUGAAGUU